rnacentral:rRNA from 1 species
CGGAGGAAAAGAAACUAACAAGGAUUCCCCUAGUAACUGCGAGUGAAGCGGGAAAAGCUCAAAUUUAAAAUCUGGCGGUCUUUUGGCUGUCCGAGUUGUAAUCUAGAGAAGUGUUAUCCGCGCUGGACCGUGUACAAGUCUCCUGGAAUGGAGCAUCAUAGAGGGUGAGAAUCCCGUCUUUGACAUGGACUGCCAGGGCUUUGUGAUGCGCUCUCAAAGAGUCGAGUUGUUUGGGAAUGCAGCUCAAAAUGGGUGGUAAAUUCCAUCUAAAGCUAAAUAUUGGCGAGAGACCGAUAGCGAACAAGUACCGUGAGGGAAAGAUGAAAAGAACUUUGGAAAGAGAGUUAAACAGUACGUGAAAUUGCUGAAAGGGAAACGCUUGAAGUCAGUCGCGUUGUCCAGGGAUCAACCUUGCUUUUGCUUGGUGCAUUUUCUGGUUCGACGGGUCAGCAUCAAUUUUGAUCGUUGGAAAAAGGCUAAGGGAAUGUGGCAUCUUUGGAUGUGUUAUAGCCCUUGGUCACAUACAAUGGUUGGGAUUGAGGAACUCAGCACGCCGAAAGGUCGGGUUUUAAACCACGUACGUGCUUAGGAUGCUGGCAAUAUGGCUUUAAUCGACCCGUCUUGAAACACGGACCAAGGAGUCUAACAUGCCUGCGAGUGUUUGGGUGGAAAACCCGAGCGCGUAAUGAAAGUGAAAAGUUGAGAUCCCUGUCGUGGGGAGCAUCGACGCCCGGACCAGACCUUUUGUGACGGUUCCGCGGUAGAGCAUGUAUGUUGGGACCCGAAAGAUGGUGAACUAUGCCUGAAUAGGGUGAAUCCAGAGGAAACUCUGGUGGAGGCUCGUAGCGAUUCUGACGUGCAAAUCGAUCGUCAAAUUUGGG